rnacentral:rRNA from 1 species
ACCGGCGCACGGGUGCGUAACGCGUAUGCAAUCUACCUUUCACAAAGGGAUAGCCCAGAGAAAUUUGGAUUAAUACCUUAUAGUAUUACGGAAUGGCAUCAUUUUGUAAUUAAAGAUUUAUCGGUGAAAGAUGAGCAUGCGUCCCAUUAGCUAGUUGGUAUGGUAACGGCAUACCAAGGCUACGAUGGGUAGGGGUCCUGAGAGGGAGAUCCCCCACACUGGUACUGAGACACGGACCAGACUCCUACGGGAGGCAGCAGUGAGGAAUAUUGGACAAUGGGCGCAAGCCUGAUCCAGCCAUGCCGCGUGCAGGAUGACGGUCCUAUGGAUUGUAAACUGCUUUUAUACAGGAAGAAACACCUCUACGUGUAGAGACUUGACGGUACUGUAAGAAUAAGGAUCGGCUAACUCCGUGCCAGCAGCCGCGGUAAUACGGAGGAUCCAAGCGUUAUCCGGAAUCAUUGGGUUUAAAGGGUCCGUAGGCGGUCAGAUAAGUCAGUGGUGAAAGCCCAUCGCUCAACGGUGGAACGGCCAUUGAUACUGUCUGACUUGAAUUAUUAGGAAGUAACUAGAAUAUGUAGUGUAGCGGUGAAAUGCUUAGAGAUUACAUGGAAUACCAAUUGCGAAGGCAGGUUACUACUAAUGGAUUGACGCUUAUGGACGAAAGCGUGGGUAGCGAACAGGAUUAGAUACCCUGGUAGUCCACGCCGUAAACGAUGGAUACUAGCUGUUGGGAGCAAUUUCAGUGGCUAAGCGAAAGUGAUAAGUAUCCCACCUGGGGAGUACGAACGCAAGUUUGAAACUCAAAGGAAUUGACGGGGGCCCGCACAAGCGGUGGAGCAUGUGGUUUAAUUCGAUGAUACGCGAGGAACCUUACCAAGGCUUAAAUGUAGUUUGACCGUUUUGGAAACAGAAUUUUCGCAAGACAAAUUACAGGUGCUGCAUGGUUGUCGUCAGCUCGUGCCGUGAGGUGUCAGGUUAAGUCCUAUAACGAGCGCAACCCCUGUUGUUAGUUGCCAGCGAGUCAUGUCGG